UCCCUCAUGGUCUAGUGGUUAGGAUUCAGUACUAUCACUACUGUGACCUGGGUUCAAUUCUCAGUCAGGGAA